CCUAGCGCUGGCCUUGGUCUCGGAGCCGCCAUUCUCCGGAUCCACUUCUGGCUUUUCCUCCUGUGCUCAGGAGCCCCAGGUUUCUGUGCGACACAGGGAAGGAGAGACUCUGAGGGAGAACAAGGGACAGAGUGAAGAGCAGGAAAUGUUGCACAUGAAAAUUCAUUUUGGUAUGAUUAUUGAAGCAUGGAAUAUAUCUCUAAUGAGGUCCAAUUUCUUGUAGAUGUUCAUGAUUGUGAAAAUACUAUGGUGUAUUCAAACCAUUGACAUUCAUGGAUGUGGCUAUUGAUUUCUCUCAAGAGGAAUGGGGAUGCCUGGACCAGGCUCAGCAGAAAUUAUACAGAGAUGUGAUGUUGGAGAACUACAGAAACCUGGUCUUUCUGAGUGAGUGAGCUUCCCUUCAGAAUC